UACGAAGGGGGCUAGCGUUGCUCGGAAUCACUGGGCGUAAAGCGCACGUAGGCGGCUUCUUAAGUCAGGGGUGAAAUCCUGGAGCUCAACUCCAGAACUGCCUUUGAUACUGAGGAGCUCGAGUCCGGAAGAGGUGAGUGGAACUGCGAGUGUAGAGGUGAAAUUCGUAGAUAUUCGCAAGAACACCAGUGGCGAAGGCGGCUCACUGGUCCGGUACUGACGCUGAGGAGCGAAAGCGUGGGGAGCGAACAGG
rnacentral:rRNA from 1 species